rnacentral:sRNA from 1 species
UGAUGUAAGUGUCAAAAGUAUAAAUUGCGUUUGUGCUCGCACAAAUAAGCAAUUUAUACUUAUUGACACGCCGAACACCGAAAACGGAAUAAAUGGGAGUUUGAGGUGUUCGAGGAUUGCGGGAAUUGCAUAGCAAUGGAGCAAUCCGGUUACAUCA